UACGGGGGGAGCAAGCGUUGUUCGGAUUUAUUGGGCGUAAAGAGCUCGUAGGCGGCUUGUCGCGUCGUUCGUGAAAACUUGGGGCUCAACCCCAAGCUUGCGGUCGAUACGGGCAGGCUAGAGUUCGGUAGGGGAGACUGGAAUUCCUGGUGUAGCGGUGAAAUGCGUAGAUAUCUGGAGGAACACCGGUGGCGAAGGCAGCAUCCUGGACCAAUAUUGACGCUGAGGAGCGAAAGCCAGGGGAGCAAACGGG
rnacentral:rRNA from 1 species